rnacentral:rRNA from 1 species
UUAUAAUUUAUAAUUUUUAUAAAAUAAAUUUUUAGUUAAUCCCUUCAUACAAGUUACCAAUUAAGUAGCUAAUGAUUUCGCUACCUUAGUGUUAUUAACAGCUAUUUAAAUAAUUUCAUUGAGCAGAAUAGAUUAUAAAAAUUAUAAAUAAGAUUUUGUUAAACAGUCUAAUAAUUUAAUGAAUAAAAUUUUUUUAUUUUUUAUUAUUAAAUUUUAUUAAAUAUAAAAAUUUUAUACUAUUUAUACUAAUUUUUUAAUUUAAUAUUUUUAUAAUACAAUAUAAUUGAAAAUAUAAAUGAUAUAAUUUUU